rnacentral:misc_RNA from 1 species
UUUUAGCUGUUUUCCUGGCCAUUGUGUCGGGUGGGUGGCUAUUUGUGUGGUGGUUUCUUCAAUGUUGCCCGUAAAGGUGCAUGAGUGGUGUUUGGUGUGUUGCUGGUGGUUGGAUGUCUGCUUGCGCAGCAACUUCCAUCGGGGCACGCCUCUUCAUUUAUGGUGACGGGUUGUUUUUUCAACCCUGAACAAUUGUUGGGAUAUCCUGUGUUGUUUGCCUACUUUACGGUAUGCUUAUGUUUGAUCGACAUCUAUUUUCAUUGCGCGUUGCUCAUGCGACGCGGGAUGAACCCGAAGUGGCCUCCCUAUGAUCCUUGUCAUCGACGCAAUUGUGUCUUUGGCGUGGCCCAUUGGGUGUGGCUUGGUUUCUUGGAUACAGAACCUUGUGCGGGUAUGGGGUCUUCAACGACCUCGUGUUUACCCUCGUCAAGCGUUCUUGCUUCUCAAAAACGACUGGCGGUUGCGUGUCGGCUCGUCCGUGCGUCCCCGUCGUUGUCGAGGAGGGAUGCUACCUGGUUGAUCCUGCCAGUAGUCAUAUGCUUGUC